GGCGUCGUAGUUCAAGGGAUCAGAACAGGUUACUGCUAAUUUCCAUGUAUGGGUUCGAAUCCCAUCGACGUCUCUA
rnacentral:tRNA from 1 species